GAUGAACGCUAGCGGGAGGCCUAACACAUGCAAGCCGAGCGGUAUUUGUUCUUCUGACCAGAGAGAGCGGCGCACGGGUGCGGAAUACGUGUUCAACCUGCCUUUAUCUGGGGGAUAGCCUUUCUAAAGGAAGAUUAAUACCCCAUAAUAUAUUGAUUUGCAUCACUUGUUAUUGAAAACUCCGGUGGAUAGAGAUGGGCACGCGCAAGAUUAGAUAGUUUGUGAGGUAACGGCUCACCAAGUCAAUGAUCUUUAGGUGGCCUGAGAGGGUGAUCCCCCACACGGGUACAGAGACACGGACAAGACGACUAAGAGACGGAGCAGUGAGGAACAUUAGGCAGUGGGGUAGAGUCUGAUCCAACCAGCCCGAGUGAAGGACGACGGCCCUAUGGGUUGUAAACUUCUUUUGGAUAGGGAAAAACCUACUAUCGUGGGAGUAGCUGAAGGUACUAGAAGAAUAAGCACCGGCUAACUCCGUG
rnacentral:rRNA from 1 species